GGUGCAAGCGUUGCUCGGAAUUACUGGGCGUAAAGGGCGUGUAGGCGGUUUCGUAUGUCUGGCGUGAAAUCCCCGAGCUCAACUUGGGAAUUGCCUUCAAAACUGCGUGGCUAGAGUGUGGGAGAGGAAGGUAGAAUUCCAGGUGUAGCGGUGAAAUGCGUAGAUAUCUGGAGGAAUACCGAUGGCGAAGGCAGCCUUCUGGCCUAACACUGACGCUGAGGUGCGAAAGCAUGGGGAGCAAAC
rnacentral:rRNA from 1 species